UACGAAGGGGGCUAGCGUUGUUCGGAAUUACUGGGCGUAAAGCGCGCGCAGGCGGCUUAGUAAGUUGGAAGUGAAAGCCCAGGGCUCAACCUUGGAAUUGCUUUUAAAACUACUAAGCUAGAGUAUGGUAGGGGAUAGUGGAAUUCCUAGUGUAGGGGUGAAAUCCGUAGAUAUUAGGGGGAACACCAGAGGCGAAGGCGGCUAUCUGGACCAUUACUGACGCUAAUGUGCGAAAGCGUGGGGAGCGAACAGG
rnacentral:rRNA from 1 species